ensembl:lncRNA SLC26A4-AS1 SLC26A4 antisense RNA 1
AGGCGUGGACGCCCCGCUCCGCUUCUCUCUACGCAGGCCCGCGCGGCCGCUACCUGCAGCACUUGGCCAGGCUCUCCCGCAGCGUCUUGCGCUCCUGCAGGCGCCGCUCGUGCUGUUGCUGGAAAGCGAGCUCGCUGUAGACCGGCCGCGACACCAUGUAGCUGCAGCUGUACUCGGGGAGCUGCGGCGGCUCCGACCUGCCGCCUGGCGCUGCCAUGACCUGCGAGCCAGAGGACAGCGAGGAGGGAGGACACGCGGCUUAAAACGGCACACCAGGAGAUUAUAUCCCACACCUGGCUUGGAGGAGGAUCCUACGCCCAUGGAGUCUCGCUCAUUGCUAGCACAGCAGUCCGAGAUCAAACUGCAAGGCAGUAGCGAGGCUGGGGGAGGGGCGCCAGCCAUUGCCAAGUUAGUUGUUUGAUUAGGUAAACAAAGCGGCUGGGAAGCUCGAACUGGAUGGAGCCCACCACAGCUCAAGGAGGCCUGCCUACCUCUGUAGGCUCCACCUCUGGGGGAAGGGCACAGACAAACAAAAAGACAGCAGUAACCUCUGGAGAAUUAAAUGUCCCUCUCUAACACCUUUGAAGAGAGUAGUGGUUCUCCCAGCAUGCAGCUUGAGAUCUGAGAACGGGCAGACUGCCUCCUUAAGUGGGUCCCUGACCCCCGAGUAGCCCAAAUGGGAGGCACCCCCCAGUAGGGGCAGACUGACACCUCACACAGCCGGGUACUCCUCUGAGACAAAACUUCCAGAGGAACGAUCAGGCAGCAGCAUUUACGGUUCACCAAUAUCCGUUGUUCUGCAGCCACUGCUGCUGAUACCCAGGCAAACAGCGUCUGGAGUGGACCUCCAGCAAACUCCAACAGACCUGUAGCUGAGGGUCCUGACUGUUAGAAGGAAAACUAACAAACAGAAAGGACAUCCACACCAAAAACCCAUCUAUACGUCACCAUCAUCAAAGACCAAAGGUAGAUACAACCACAAAGAUGGGGAAAAAACAGAGCAGAAAAACUGGAAACUCUAAAAAUCAGAGUGCCUCUCCUCCUCCAAAGGAACGCAGCUCCUCACCAGCAAUGGAACAAAACUGGAAGGAGAAUGACUUUGACGCGUUGAGAGAAGAAGGCUUCAGAAGAUCAAACUACUCCGAGCUAAAGGAGGAAGUUCGAACCAAUGGCAAAGAAGUUAAAAACCUUGAAAAAAAAUUAGACGAAUGGCUAACUAGAAUAACCAAUGCAGAGAAGUCCUUAAAGGACCUGAUGGAGCUGAAAACCAUGGCACGAGAACUACAUGACGAAUGCACAAGCCUCAGUAGCUGAUGUGACCAACUGGAAGAAAGGGUAUCAGUGAUGGAAGACGAAAUGAAUGAAAUGAAGCGAGAAGAGAAGUUUAGAGAAAAAAGAAUAAAAAGAAAUGGACAAAGCCUCCAAGAAAUAGGGGACUAUGUGAAAAGACCAAAUCUAUGUCUGAUUGGUGUACCUGAAAGUGACGGGGAGAAUGGAACCAAGUUGGAAAACAUUCUGCAGGAUAUUAUCCAGGAGAACUUCCCCAAUCUAGCAAGGCAGGCCAACAUUCAAAUUCAGGAAAUACAGAGAACGCCACAAAGAUACUCCUCAAGAAGAGCAACUCCAAGACACAUAAUUGUCAGAUUCACCAAAGUUGAAAUGAAGGAAAAAAUGUUAAAAGGGCAGCCAGAGACAAAAGUUGGGUUACCCACAAAGGGAAGCCCAUCGGACUAACAGCUGAUCUCGGCAGAAACUCUACAAGCCAGAAGAGAGUGGGGACCAAUAUUCAACAUUCUUAAAGAAAAGAAUUUUCAACCCAGAAUUUUCAUAUCCAGCCAAACUAAGCUUCAUAAGUGAAGGAGAAAUAAAAUACUUUACAGACAAGCAAAUGCUGAGAGAUUUUGUCACCAACAGGCCUGCCCUAAAAGAGCUCCUGAAGGAAGCACUAAACAUGGAAAGGAACAACUGGUACCAGCCACUGCAAAAACAUGCCAAAUUGUAAAGACCAUCAAGGCUAGGAAGAAACUGCAUCAACUAACGAGCAAAAUAACCAGCUAACAUCAUAAUGACAGGAUCAAAUUCACACAUAACAAUAUUAACCUUAAAUGUAAAUGGGCUAAAUGCUCCAAUUAAAAGACACAGACUGACAAACUGGAUAAAGAGUCAAGACCCAUCAGC